CGACGUAGGUAACCUGCCUGGUAGCGGGGGGUAACUAUUGGAAACGAUAGCUAAUACCGCAUAAUAGCAGUUGUUGCAUGACAACUGUUUGAAAGGUGCAAUUGCACCACUACCAGAUGGACCUGCGUUGUAUUAGCUAGUUGGUGGGGUAACGGCUCACCAAGGCGACGAUACAUAGCCGACCUGAGAGGGUGAUCGGCCACACUGGGACUGAGACACGGCCCAG
rnacentral:rRNA from 1 species